GACAGAGGGUGCAAACGUUGUUCGGAAUUACUGGGCGUAAAGCGCGUGUAGGCGGCCAUGCAAGUCGGAUGUGAAAGCCCUCGGCUCAACCGGGGAAGUGCACCCGAAACUGCAAGGCUAGAGUCUCGGAGAGGAUCGUGGAAUUCUCGGUGUAGAGGUGAAAUUCGUAGAUAUCGAGAGGAACACCGGUGGCGAAGGCGGCGAUCUGGACGGUGACUGGACGCUGAGACGCGAAAGCGUGGGGAGCAAACAGG
rnacentral:rRNA from 1 species